rnacentral:rRNA from 1 species
AUACGUAGGGGGCGAGCGUUGUCCGGAAUGAUUGGGCGUAAAGGGCGCGUAGGCGGCCCGGUAAGUCUGGAGUGAAAGUCCUGUUUUUAAGAUGGGAAUUGCUUUGGAUACUGUCGGGCUUGAGUGCAGGAGAGGUAAGUGGAAUUCCCAGUGUAGCGGUGGAAUGCGUAGAGAUUGGGAGGAACACCAGUGGCGAAGGCGACUUACUGGACUGCAACUGACGCUGAGGCGCGAAAGUGUGGGGAGCAAACAGGAUUAGAUACCCUGGUAGUCCACACUGUAAACGAUGAAUGCUAGGUGUAGGGGGUAUCGACCCCUUCUGUGCCGCAGUCAACACAAUAAGCAUUCCGCCUGGGGAGUACGGCCGCAAGGUUGAAACUCAAAUGAAUUGACGGGG